AAACCGGUUGAUCCUGCCGGACCCGACCGCUAUCGGGGUAGGGCUAAGCCAUGCGAGUCGCGCGCCCGGGGGCGCCCGGGAGCGGCGCACGGCUCAGUAACACGUGCCUAACCUAACCUCGGGAGGGGGACACCCCCGGGAAACUGGGGUCAAUCCCCCAUAGGGGAAGGGCGCUGGAAGGCCCCUUCCCCGAAAGGGAUGGCGGCCGAUCCGCCGCCGUCCGCCCGAGGGUGGGGGCACGGCCCAUCAGGUAGUUGGCGGGUUAAAGGCCCGCCAAGCCGAAGACGGGUAGGGGCGGUGAGAGCCGCGAGCCCCGAGAUCGGCACUGAGACAAGGGCCGAGGCCCUACGGGGUGCAGCAGGCGCGAAUACUCCGCAAUGCGGGCAACCGCGACGGGGCUACCCCGAGUGCCGGGCGAAGAGCCCGGCUUUUGCCCGGUCUAAAACGCCGGGCGAAUAAGCGGGGGGCAAGUCUGGUGUCAGCCGCCGCGGUAAUACCAGCUCCGCGAGUGGUCGGGGUGUUUACUGGGCUUAAAGCGCCCGUAGCCGGCCCGGCAAGUCGCUCCUGAAAUCCCCGGGCUCAACCCGGGGGCGGGGGGCGAUACUGCCGGGCUAGGGGGCGGGAGAGGCCGCCGGUACUCCGGGGGUAGGGGCGAAAUCCGUUAAUCCCCGGAGGACCACCAGUGGCGAAAGCGGGCGGCCAGAACGCGCCCGACGGUGAGGGGCGAAAGCCGGGGGAGCAAAGGGGAUUAGAUACCCCUGUAGUCCCGGCCGUAAACGAUGCGGGCUAGCUGUCGGUCGGGCUUAGGGCCCGGCCGGUGGCGAAGGGAAACCGUUAAGCCCGCCGCCUGGGGAGUACGGCCGCAAGGCUGAAACUUAAAGGAAUUGGCGGGGGGGCACCACAAGGGGUGAAGCUUGCGGCUUAAUUGGAGUCAACGCCGGAAACCUCACCCGGGGCGACAGCAGGAUGAAGGCCAGGCUAACGACCUUGCCGGACGAGCUGAGAGGAGGUGCAUGGCCGUCGUCAGCUCGUGCCGUGAGGUGUCCGGUUAAGUCCGGCAACGAGCGAGACCCCCGCCCCUAGUUGCUACCCCGUCCUUCGGGACGGGGGGCACACUAGGGGGACUGCCGGCGUAAGCCGGAGGAAGGAGGGGGCCACGGCAGGUCAGUAUGCCCCGAAACCCCGGGGCUGCACGCGAGCUGCAAUGGCGGGGACAGCGGGAUCCGACCCCGAAAGGGGGAGGCAAUCCCGUAAACCCCGCCCCAGUAGGGAUCGAGGGUUGCAACUCGCCCUCGUGAACGUGGAAUCCCUAGUAACCGCGUGUCACCAACGCGCGGUGAAUACGUCCCUGCCCCUUGCACACACCGCCCGUCGCACCACCCGAGGGAGCCCUCUGCGAGGCCCCUCGCCGAAGAGGUGGGGGGACGAGCAGGGGGCUCCCAAGGGGGGUGAAGUCGUAACAAGGUAGCCGUAGGGGAACCUGCGGCUGGAUCACCUC
rnacentral:rRNA from 1 species